AGAGUUUGAUCAUGGCUCAGAUUGAACGCUGGCGGCAGGCCUAACACAUGCAAGUCGAACGGUAACAGGAAGCAGCUUGCUGCUUCGCUGACGAGUGGCGGACGGGUGAGUAAUGUCUGGGAAACUGCCUGAUGGAGGGGGAUAACUACUGGAAACGGUAGCUAAUACCGCAUAAUGUCGCAAGACCAAAGAGGGGGACCUUCGGGCCUCUUGCCAUCGGAUGUGCCCAGAUGGGAUUAGCUUGUUGGUGGGGUAACGGCUCACCAAGGCGACGAUCCCUAGCUGGUCUGAGAGGAUGACCAGCCACACUGGAACUGAGACACGGUCCAGACUCCUACGGGAGGCAGCAGUGGGGAAUAUUGCACAAUGGGCGCAAGCCUGAUGCAGCCAUGCCGCGUGUAUGAAGAAGGCCUUCGGGUUGUAAAGUACUUUCAGCGGGGAGGAAGGGAGUAAAGUUAAUACCUUUGCUCAUUGACGUUAUCCGCAGAAGAAGCACCGGCUAACUCCGUGCCAGCAGCCGCGGUAAUACGGAGGGUGCAAGCGUUAAUCGGAAUUACUGGGCGUAAAGCGCACGCAGGCGGUUUGUUAAGUCAGAUGUGAAAUCCCGGGCUCAACCUGGGAACUGCAUCUGAUACUGGCAAGCUUGAGUCUCGUAGAGGGGGUAGAAUUCCAGGUGUAGCGGUGAAAUGCGUAGAGAUCUGGAGGAAUACCGGUGGCGAAGGCGGCCCCUGGACGAAAACUGACGCUCAGGUGCGAAAGCGUGGGGAGCAAACAGGAUUAGAUACCCUGGUAGUCCACGCCGUAAACGAUGUCGACUUGGAGGUUGUGCCCUUGAGGCGUGGCUUCCGGAGCUAACGCGUUAAGUCGACCGCCUGGGGAGUACGGCCGCAAGGUUAAAACUCAAAUGAAUUGACGGGGGCCCGCACAAGCGGUGGAGCAUGUGGUUUAAUUCGAUGCAACGCGAAGAACCUUACCUGGUCUUGACAUCCACGGAAGUUUUCAGAGAUGAGAAUGUGCCUUCGGGAACCGUGAGACAGGUGCUGCAUGGCUGUCGUCAGCUCGUGUUGUGAAAUGUUGGGUUAAGUCCCGCAACGAGCGCAACCCUUAUCCUUUGUUGCCAGCGGUCCGGCCGGGAACUCAAAGGAGACUGCCAGUGAUAAACUGGAGGAAGGUGGGGAUGACGUCAAGUCAUCAUGGCCCUUACGACCAGGGCUACACACGUGCUACAAUGGCGCAUACAAAGAGAAGCGACCUCGCGAGAGCAAGCGGACCUCAUAAAGUGCGUCGUAGUCCGGAUUGGAGUCUGCAACUCGACUCCAUGAAGUCGGAAUCGCUAGUAAUCGUGGAUCAGAAUGCCACGGUGAAUACGUUCCCGGGCCUUGUACACACCGCCCGUCACACCAUGGGAGUGGGUUGCAAAAGAAGUAGGUAGCUUAACCUUUGGGAGGGCGCUUACCACUUUGUGAUUCAUGACUGGGGUGAAGUCGUAACAAGGUAACCGUAGGGGAACCUGCGGUUG
rnacentral:rRNA from 1 species